rnacentral:sRNA from 1 species
GUGGGAUGAGAUAUCAGCCCUUUGAUCAUCUUAUUCCCUGGCAACUCUUCACUAGCUGGUUUCAGUGUCCUUGCUGACUCUUGGAAAUAUUGAUUACUCUCGUGACAAUGGCAAUUUUUCUAAUUCCUUCUACAUAUAUUUUCUGGCAUCCUUCAGUAAGGCCACAUUUUCUCCCUCAAAAUAUUUCAUUUUAAUUUAAACGAUUAAUACAGCUAAGAUAUUCUUUCAACAGGCAAAUGAAAACGGUAGCUUAAACUGCAAGUUUCAAUCAGAAAAUAACAGCUCUCUGAUUUCCCUCGACUCACACUCUUCUGAAACAACUCACAAAGAGUCUGAGGAA